rnacentral:rRNA from 1 species
AAGUCGUAACAAGGUUUCCGUAGGUGAACCUGCGGAAGGAUCAUUAAUG